UACAGAGGUCUCAAGCGUUGUUCGGAUUCAUUGGGCGUAAAGGGCGCGUAGGCUGCGGGGCAAGUCGGGUGUGAAAUCUCAGAGCUCAACUCUGAAACUGCACUCGAAACUGCUUUGCUUGAGGACUGGAGAGGAGAUUGGAAUUCACGGUGUAGCAGUGAAAUGCGUAGAUAUCGUGAGGAAGACCAGUGGCGAAGGCGGAUCUCUGGACAGUUCCUGACGCUGAGGCGCGAAGGCCAGGGGAGCAAACGGG
rnacentral:rRNA from 1 species